UACAGAGGGGGCGAGCGUUGUUCGGAAUUACUGGGCGUAAAGGGCGCGUAGGCGGCCUCUUAAGUCGAACGUGAAAUCCCCGGGCUCAACCCGGGAACUGCGUCCGAUACUGGGAGGCUUGAAUCCGGGAGAGGGAUGUGGAAUUCCAGGUGUAGCGGUGAAAUGCGUAGAUAUCUGGAGGAACACCGGUGGCGAAGGCGGCAUCCUGGACCGGUAUUGACGCUGAGGCGCGAAAGCCAGGGGGAGCAAACGGG
rnacentral:rRNA from 1 species